rnacentral:rRNA from 1 species
CAGCCGCCGCGGUAAUACGGAGGGUGCAAGCGUUAAUCGGAAUUACUGGGCGUAAAGCGUGCGUAGGCGGUUCGUUAAGUCUGUUGUGAAAGCCCCGGGCUCAACCUGGGAAUGGCAAUGGAUACUGGCGAGCUAGAGUGUGUCAGAGGAUGGUGGAAUUCCCGGUGUAGCGGUGAAAUGCGUAGAGAUCGGGAGGAACAUCAGUGGCGAAGGCGGCCAUCUGGGACAACACUGACGCUGAGGCACGAAAGCGUGGGGAGCAAACAGGAUUAGAGACCCCCGUAGUCCCUGUCUCUUAUAC